rnacentral:rRNA from 1 species
CGCCUGUUUAUCAAAAACAUGUCUUUUUGUGAAUAAUUUAAGGUUUAGCCUGCUCCAUGACGAAGUUAAAUAGCCGCAGUAUAUUGACUGUGCAAAGGUAGCAUAAUCAUUAGUUUUUCAAUUGGAAGCUGGAAUGAAGGGCUGGAUGAAGAGGUGACUGUCUCAUUUUAAUUCUAUUGAAAUUUAUUUUUAAGUUAAAAAGCUUAGAUUUUAUAAAAAGACGAGAAGACCCUAUAGAGCUUAAUAAAUACUAAUUUAAAUUGCUUGAAGUUUUAAUUGUGGCUUUUAUUUGGUUUAUUUGGUUGGGGUGACAUGGAAUUUGAAUAAACUUCUUUAUAUUAGUACAUUGAUUUAUGCGUAAUUGAUCCUGAAGUUUGGAUUAUAAGAAUAAGUUACCUUAGGGAUAACAGCGUAAUCUUUUUGGAGAGCUCAAAUCAAUAAAAGGCAUUGCGACCUCGAUGUUGGAUUAAAGUUAAAUUUGGGUGCAGAAGCUUGAAUUUUGAGUCUGUUCGACUUAUGAAACUUUCGUGAUCUGAGUUCAGACCGG